rnacentral:rRNA from 1 species
AUACGUAGGUGCCAAGCGUUAUCCGGAUUUACUGGGCGUAAAGGGCGUGUAGGCGGCCUUGCAAGUCAGAAGUGAAAUUCCUGAGCUCAACUCGGGCGCUGCUUCUGAAACUGCAGGACUUGAGUGCUGGAGGGGAUAGCGGAAUUCCUAGUGGAGCGGUAAAAUGCGCAGAUAUUAGGAAGAACACCGGUGGCGAAGGCGGCUAUCUGGACAGUAACUGACGCUGAGGCGCGAAAGCGUGGGGAGCAAACAGGAUUAAAUACCCUGGUAGGCCACGCCGUAAACGAUGAAUACUAGGUGUAGGGGGUAUCGACUCCCUCUGUGCCGCAGUUAACACAAUAAGUAUUCCGCCUGGGGAGUACGGCCGCAAGGUUGAAACUCAAAGGAAUUGACGGGG